rnacentral:rRNA from 1 species
CAAAAACAUCACCUCUAGCAUUACAAGUUUAGGAGGCACUGCCUGCCCAGUGACACACGUUAAACGGCCGCGGUAUCCUGACCGUGCAAAGGUAGCAUAAUCACUUGUUCCUUAAUUAGGGACUUGCAUGAAAGGCAAGACGAGGGCUUAACUGUCUCUUACUUCCAAUCAGUGAAAUUGACCUACCCGUGAAGAGGCGGGUAUAAAUAAAUAAGACGAGAAGACCCUGUGGAGCUUUAAUUAACUCUCCUAUCCACUAAAACUAAUACCCUAAUGGAUCAACAAACACAGAGAGCUAGGAGAAAAAUUUCGGUUGGGGUGACCUCGGAGCAUAAAAAAUCCUCCGAAUGACUUAACUCUAAGCCUACCAGCCUAGAGGUGCUCAAGCAAUCAACAAUUGACCCAAUAAUAAAUUGAUCAACGGACCAAGUUACCCCAGGGAUAACAGCGCAAUCCUAUUUAAGAGUCCCUAUCGACAAUAGGGUUUACGACCUCGAUGUUGGAUCAGGACACCCAAAUGGUGCAACCGCUAUUAAUGGUUCGUUUGUUCAACGAUUAAAGUCCUACGUGAUCUGAG